rnacentral:rRNA from 1 species
AUGAACGCUGGCGGCGUGCUUAACACCUGCAAGUCGAACGGAAAGGCUCCUGCUUGCAGGGGUACUCGAGUGGCGAACGGGUGAGUAACACGUGGGUGAUCUGCCCUGCACUUCGGGAUAAGCCUGGGAAACUGGGUCUAAUACCGGAUAGGACCACAUUUUGGAUGGUGUGGUGGAAAGUUUUUCGGUGUGGGAUGAGCUCGCGGCCUAUCAGCUUGUUGGUGGGGUAAUGGCCUACCAAGGCGUCGACGGGUAGCCGGCCUGAGAGGGUGUACGGCCACAUUGGGACUGAGGUACGGCCCAGACUCCUACGGGAGGCAGCAGUGGGGAAUAUUGCACAAUGGGCGCAAGCCUGAUGCAGCGACGCCGCGUGGGGGAUGACGGCCUUCGGGUUGUAAACUCCUUUCGCUAGGGACGAAGCGCAAGUGACGGUACCUGGAGAAGAAGCACCGGCUAACUACGUG